CCUCCUAGUCUCUCUGCCGAGCUCAGACCACCGGCCUUUCAGUCCUGCGCAUCUGCCGGGCCGGCCCUCCAGGACCCCAACCCGGGCGGACCUUGCGCCCCUGGAGUUGAUCACUAGCCUGCUGAAGAUUCAGCGGUCUGCGUUCCGACUGCAGGUUGAAAACUACAAGGCACAGAAACUUGAUGCUGGGAUUCCCUGGAUUCCAACAGGAUUGCAAUAGGAAAGUGCAGCUAAUGAGGUGGUAUAUUAGAUGUAGUGACUAGGAGUCUGCAACACUGCUCAGGACAGCGCUGGUGGUGGCAGGGACUCGGGGCAGUUGCUCCAAGUACCCCUUUUAUUUAACUCAGAAUUCUUGAGGUAGGUGCCAUUAGUCUCAUUACAGAAGGUGCAGUGGUUUGAAGACAUGUGUGCAACUUGGUUGCUAUGGGAUUAAUGGGAUCCCUUAAGAUCGGUAUCCUGGUAAAAUUGCAAAAACUAAACAGUCUGCUUUGGAUUGGCAAAAGCUGACCAGAAGAGCUUAAGAAUCUAAGCUCUUUGUAGUUCUUAAUUGCAUUGAACCCAAUUUCCCUAACUUUGGUGUAAAGGAGCCAAAUUUGGGGUGUUGGUGCUCAUCUGCCAGAAAAACUCAAUGGCCUGGCUCUGAGUAGAGCCCUUGGCAAGGAAGAGACCUGAGUUAAUGUAUGUGCAGGUAGUGAAAUGAGGUGUGAAGGGGAAUUAAAGAGGUAAGAUGCCUUGGAUGGGUAUAAGGAGCCUCAUAGGGGUGUCAGCCUGGAAAUACAGUUCACACAUGGAAGAUAAUUCCUGCCUUGUACAACCAGUCUGCAUAACCAGCAAUAACUUCUCAUUUUCCAAAAUCUUUAAAUAAACUUAUGUUGAUUUUUGA